AGUGAACGCUGGCGGUAGGCCUAACACAUGCAAGUCGAACGGCAGCACAGUAAGAGCUUGCUCUUACGGGAGGCGAGUGGCGGACGGGUGAGGAAUACAUCGGAAUCUACUUUUUCGUGGGGGAUAACGUAGGGAAACUUACGCUAAUACCGCAUACGACCUACGGGUGAAAGCAGGGGAUCUUCGGACCUUGCGCGAUUGAAUGAGCCGAUGUCGGAUUAGCUAGUUGGCGGGGUAAAGGCCCACCAAGGCGACGAUCCGUAGCUGGUCUGAGAGGAUGAUCAGCCACACUGGAACUGAGACACGGUCCAGACUCCUACGGGGGGCAGCAGUGGGGAAUAUUGGACAAUGGGCGCAAGCCUGAUCCAGCCAUACCGCGUGGGUGAAGAAGGCCUUCGGGUUGUAAAGCCCUUUUGUUGGGAAAGAAAAGCAGCAGGUUAAUACCCCGCUGUUCUGACGGUACCCAAAGAAUAAGCACCGGCUAACUUCGUG
rnacentral:rRNA from 1 species